rnacentral:snoRNA from 1 species
CUUCAGGUCUAUCCCAGAGUGGGUUCUCUGUGGCAGCGCAUCACAUCUUUAGAAACCUCUCAUAAGAAUCUUGUGGUUUUACUGUGCUUUCAGGUCUAUUUCUUAGGUCUGUGUGAAGGCACUACAAGACAGAA